rnacentral:rRNA from 1 species
AGUGAACGCUGGCGGUAGGCCUAACACAUGCAAGUCGAACGGCAGCACAGUAAGAGCUUGCUCUUACGGGUGGCGAGUGGCGGACGGGUGAGGAAUACAUCGGAAUCUACUUUUUCGUGGGGGAUAACGUAGGGAAACUUACGCUAAUACCGCAUACGACCUACGGGUGAAAGCAUGGGAUCUUCGGACCUUGCGCGAUUGAAUGAGCCGAUGUCGGAUUAGCUAGUUGGCGGGGUAAAGGCCCACCAAGGCGACGAUCCGUAGCUGGUCUGAGAGGAUGAUCAGCCACACUGGAACUGGGACAGGGUCCAGACUCCUACGGGAGGCAGCAGUGGGGAAUAUUGGACAAUGGGCGCAAGCCUGAUCCAGCCAUACCGCGUGGGUGAAGAAGGCCUUCGGGUUGUAAAGCCCUUUUGUUGGGAAAGAAAAGCAGUAGGUUAAUACCCCGCUGUUCUGACGGUACCCAAAGAAUAAGCACCGGCUAACUUCGUG